AGAGUUUGAUCCUGGCUCAGGAUGAACGCUAGCUACAGGCUUAACACAUGCAAGUCGAGGGGCAUCAUGAGAGGACUUCGGUCCUUUCGAUGGCGACCGGCGAAUGGGUGAGUAACACGUAUCCAACCUGCCCCUGACCGGGGGAUAGCCCUCCGAAAGGAGAAUUAACACCCCAUGGGUGUCCGUGCGGCAUCGCGCGGCCAUGAAAGGUUACGGUCAGGGAUGGGGAUGCGUCCGAUUAGCUUGCUGGCGGGGUAACGGCCCACCAGGGCGUCGAUCGGUAGGGGUUCUGAGAGGAAGGUCCCCCACACUGGAACUGAGACACGGUCCAGACUCCUACGGGAGGCAGCAGUGAGGAAUAUUGGUCAAUGGGCGGAAGCCUGAACCAGCCAAGUAGCGUGAAGGAUGACGGCCCUACGGGUUGUAAACUUCUUUUAUGCGGGAACAAAGUGCGCCACGCGUGGCGUUUUGCGCGUACCGCAGGAAAAAGCACCGGCUAAUUCCGUGCCAGCAGCCGCGGUAAUACGGAAGGUGCGAGCGUUAUCCGGAUUCAUUGGGUUUAAAGGGAGCGUAGGCGGAGCGCCAAGUCAGCUGUGAAAUCCCGCGGCUCAACCGUGGAACUGCAGUUGAAACUGGCGCCCUUGAGUGCACAUGAGGAUGGUGGAAUUCGUGGUGUAGCGGUGAAAUGCUUAGAUAUCACGAAGAACUCCGAUUGCGAAGGCAGCUGUCUGGGGUGCCACUGACGCUGAGGCUCGAAAGUGCGGGUAUCAAACAGGAUUAGAUACCCUGGGAGUCCGGACAGAAAACCAUGGACACCCGGGGGCGGCCACACAC
rnacentral:rRNA from 1 species